CCCCAGCCAAGUGGAACUAUUAGACCACAUCACUGAUAACGACCACCUACCUGGAUGAGAAAGCUGAGAUGGCCGAAAGCAACUCGUUGCCUUGCGUAAAAGCUACAGUUUCUUGUACUGAUGUUGAAAUGGCCAGAAGGGGCAUGUAUGAGUGACGUAGUCAUGUGACUGUGGAGGGGAAAGCCAGCCUGAGAAGGACAUGUUUUUUUCAAUGGCCGAGUUGGAGCUGCAAAGAACUGUGGCAUGAAGACUUUUAAAGGACUAAUCAUUUCUAUGGAUAUAUUUUAAAAGAACAGUGGCAUG
rnacentral:lncRNA from 1 species